rnacentral:misc_RNA from 1 species
AAGGAGCACUUGUCCAACCUGCCGGCACUUGUGUGGUGUUGGUGUGGUUCAGGGUUUCGGUCUACGGGGCCGUGGGUGCCUCGGACCGGUGCUCGCAAAUCGUGGAACACUGGCUAGUCAACCUGCCUGGGUUGCUGCCCGGUCAGUACUACCCGCAUCCGACGGUGUCGGAUGGCUCCUCUUGACUGAGGGGUCGGAGCCUUGCUUCUGUGCUGGGUUGGGCACGCUGUUGGGUCCUGACCUCGGUGUCGGGGGCUUGGUGGGUUGGGCACACUGUUGGGUCCUGAGGAAACGGGCCUCUUUGGGGGUUGGUUUUCUCGGACUGUUCGGGCCCACGUGCCUGGCGCUCUGCUGGUGUGGGUGGUGUGUGGUUUGCCCGGGUUGGUUUUUUGUGAAACUGCAUAGUGGACGCGAGCAUCUGGUGAUUGCCCGACACCUGGUUCCUCCUUUUUUUGUGAGGUUUUGU